GCCCAGAUAGCUCAGUCGGUAGAGCACAUCCUUGGUAAGGAUGAGGUCGUCGGUUCGAUUCCGAUUCUGGGCUCCU
rnacentral:tRNA from 1 species